rnacentral:rRNA from 1 species
UGCAAGUCGAGGGGUAACAGGGAGUGCUUGCACUCUGCUGACGACCGGCGCACGGAUGCGUAACGCGUAUGCAAUCUACCUCUUACUGAGGGAUAGCCCAUGGAAACGUGGAUUAAUACCUCAUAGUAUUAUAGACUGGCCUCAGUUUAUGAUUAAAGGUUACGGUAAGAGAUGAGCAUGCGUCCUAUUAGCUAGAUGGUAAGGUAACGGCUUACCAUGGCUACGAUAGGUAGGGGUCCUGAGAGGGAGAUCCCCCACACUGGUACUGAGACACGGACCAGACUCCUACGGGAGGCAGCAGUGAGGAAUAUUGGACAAUGGGCGAGAGCCUGAUCCAGCCAUGCCGCGUGCAGGAAGACGGCCCUAUGGGUUGUAAACUGCUUUUACAGAGGAAGAACCCUCCUCACGUGUAAGGAGCUGACGGUACUCUAUGAAUAAGGAUCGGCUAACUCCGUGCCAGCAGCCGCGGUAAUACGGAGGAUCCAAGCGUUAUCCGGAAUCAUUGGGUUUAAAGGGUCCGUAGGCGGGUCUAUAAGUCAGUGGUGAAAGUCUGCAGCUUAACUGUAGAACUGCCAUUGAUACUGUAGACCUUGAAUUAGCAUGAAGUGGUUAGAAUGUGUAGUGUAGCGGUGAAAUGCAUAGAUAUUACACAGAAUACCGAUUGCGAAGGCAGAUCACUAAUACUAUAUUGACGCUGAUGGACGAAAGCGUAGGUAGUGAACAGGAUUAGAUACCCUGGUAGUCUACGCCGUAAACGAUGGUUACUAGCUGUCCGGCCUAAUUGAGGGCUGGGUGGUUAAGCGAAAGUGAUAAGUAACCCACCUGGGGAGUACGUUCGCAAGAAUGAAACUCAAAGGAAUUGACGGGGGCCCGCACAAGCGGUGAGCAUGUGGUUUAAUUCGAUGAUACGCGAGGAACCUUACCAGGGCUUAAAUGCAGUCUGACGUAUCUGAAACAGAUAUUUCUUCGGACAGAUUGCAGGUGCUGCAUGAUGUCGUCAGCUCGUGCCGUGAGUGUCAGUAAGUCUAUACGAGCGCAACUCCUGGUGGUUAGUUGCCAGCGAGUAAUGGCGGGAACUUCUAGCCGGA